AAAACUAUCGAUAUUUAGGUAAUAAAAAUAUUUAGAGUUUUACAGCUAAUUUACAACGCCCCUGUUAAAUAUUCUAUACCGAGUGCGCAACAAUGACAGAAUUUAGAAAACCAUCAAAAUAGUAUGAUUCUCCGUAUGUGAUUGGAAGAGUCAACUUGAACACUUUAAACUGAUCUGAACAAACUGCACGAGGCAUUGCAAAUGUUUACUCGGUGUUGUAUUGAUUCUUGACUGGCUGUUAAUUUUAUACAAGCUAAAGACGACCUUAUUUUGAAUAUAAUUUUGAAAGAGUCAGACCGCUAUUAACUGGUUAUGCACAAGGCAUUUUAGAUUUGCAAGCGGGGAUGAAUCUUGACAGGCUGUUAAUUUUAUAGAAGCUAAUG